UUUUGGACAAUGGGGGAAACCCUGAUCCAGCCAUGCCGCGUGCAGGAUGAAGGCCCUCGGGUUGUAAACUGCUUUUGUACGGAACGAAAGGGCCUCUUUUAAUAAAGGGGGCAGAUGACGGUACCGUAAGAAUAAGCACCGGCUAACUACGUGCCAGCAGCCGCGGUAAUACGUAGGGUGCGAGCGUUAAUCGGAAUUACUGGGCGUAAAGCGUGCGCAGGCGGUCUUGCAAGACAGUGGUGAAAUCCCCGGGCUCAACCUGGGAACUGCCAUUGUGACUGCAAGGCUGGAGUACGGCAGAGGGGGAUGGAAUUCCGCGUGUAGCAGUGAAAUGCGUAGAUAUGCGGAGGAACACCGAUGGCGAAGGCAGUCCCCUGGGCCUGUACUGACGCUCAUGCACGAAAGCGUGGGGAGCAAACAGGA
rnacentral:rRNA from 1 species